UACGAAGGGGGCUAGCGUUGUUCGGAAUCACUGAGCGUAAAGGGCGCGUAGGCGGCCACUGCAAGUCAGUUGUGAAAUCUCCGGGCUUAACCCGGAAAGGUCAACUGAUACUGCAGGGCUAGAGUGCAGAAGGGGCAACUGGAAUUCUCGGUGUAGCGGUGAAAUGCGUAGAUAUCGAGAGGAACACCUGCGGCGAAGGCGGGUUGCUGGGCUGACACUGACGCUGAGGCGCGAAAGCCAGGGGAGCGAACGGG
rnacentral:rRNA from 1 species